UACAUGUGGGGCAAGCGUUGUUCGGAAUUACUGGGCAUAAAGGGCGCGUAGGCGGCCUGCUAAGUCGAACGUGAAAUCCCCGAGCUCAACUCGGGAACUGCGUCCGAUACUGGCAGGCUUGAAUCCGGGAGAGGGAUGCGGAAUUCCAGGUGUAGCGGUGAAAUGCGUAGAUAUCUGGAGGAACACCGGUGGCGAAGGCGGCAUCCUGGACCGGCAUUGACGCUGAGGCGCGAAAGCCAGGGGAGCAAACGGG
rnacentral:rRNA from 1 species